GCCAGACUCCUACGGGAGGCAGCAGUGAGGAAUAUUGGUCAAUGGGCGAGAGCCUGAACCAGCCAAGUCGCGUGAGGGAAGACGGUCCUAUGGAUUGUAAACCUCUUUUGCCGGGGAGCAAAAAGCGGUACGUGUACCGCAUCGAGAGUACCCGAAGAAAAAGCAUCGGCUAACUCCGUGCCAGCAGCCGCGGUAAUACGGAGGAUGCGAGCGUUAUCCGGAUUUAUUGGGUUUAAAGGGUGCGCAGGCGGAGGUGCAAGUCAGCGGUCAAAUUGCGGGGCUCAACCCCGUACUGCCGUUGAAACUGGCUGUCUUGAGAUGUCGAGAGGUAUGCGGAAUGCGCAGUGUAGCGGUGAAAUGCUUAGAUAUUGCGCAGAACUCCGAUUGCGAAGGCAGCAUACCGGCGGCGAUCUGACGCUGAGGCACGAAAGCGUGGGUAUCGAACAGGAUUAGAUACCCGCGUA
rnacentral:rRNA from 1 species